CUGAGCGACUUUCACUUUAACACAUAAUUAAAGGCUUUAAAUUUUUUCAGCUUUUACCUGAGCUCUGUGGAUUCCUCCCAGAUGGAAGCACCUGUCUGAGCUUGAAGAGUACCUCCCUCGAUUCCCUGGGCCAAACUCGAACUUCACUUGGCCACCACUGAAUUUAGGGUGACCAGUUGAGUAAACAGCUAGAACUGAUGUUUAAACCACCACACUCCACAAAUUCUGUCCAACCCAGCACUCUCUUCUUGUUUGGAACCCAACACUGGGAACGCGUGCCUGCAUGCGCUCCCGUCACGUUUGUAGGCAUGAGUUAGUAAGGAACAAGGCCUACUUGUUCCUUUGGUUGGAAGCAGCCUCCUCUAGACAUCGACUUUGUUACUGGCUACUUCAGAUCUGAGAUGGUGGUGGGGAGGGGGAGCGGAAGAAAACCAGCUUCCUUGGUGGGGGGAAUGGCAUGGGAGGGUGGCGCCCAGGUGGGUGUCUAUGGGUCUGCUGAAGCCGGCUAAGUACCUCAGUUCUGAUACAUAGUCUCAUUCUUUCCAGAUUAUAUUGUCCCAACUUCCACACAGGCAUUCUGUGGCUAUUUCAACCCUGUGAUUGUAAGNNNNNNNNNNNNNNNNAUCUGCAUAGCAAGUCCCAAUUCUUAUGUCUAUAAAGUGGCAACACUUUAGACUCUGUGUUUGCUGUCUGAAAACUUUCAGUGCUAUUAGAAAUUGCUGCUCUGCCUACAAUCCUGACUUCCUUUUCCCUUUCACACUGUUCUGUGGCACUGCCGACGCAGCUUCCUCAGGCCUGGCCCCUGAUGAACAGUUUGUUUUAGGGGCCCUCAGGUAAUUAGUCAUUCUCCACCAUAGGGCAUGGGCUGCUAGGCUCCCAUCCCUGAAUUAGCGGAAUUUUCACUCAGGGCAGUGUAGCUUAUCUCCCCAAAUUUUCUUUCUCCAAAUUUCCUUACUCCCCUAUUUAUCAGUUUUCCUUUGAAAUUCUUGGUUUUAAGCAACAGAAAACAAUUCUAGCUGACUUAAGCAGAAAAAGAACUUACUGGGAGCACCUCAAACAGCUCAGAGUCAGCUGGAAGCCAGGAGUACCAGCAGUUCUGAGGCAGGGCUUGAGGAUGCAUGUCUAAUAAACCCCCAGGAGCUGCUGAGGCCUGGGGGGCCACUCUGAAAAUCACA
rnacentral:lncRNA from 1 species